rnacentral:rRNA from 1 species
CCUACGGGCGGCAGCAGUAGGGAAUUUUCGUCAAUGGGCGCAAGCCUGAACGAGCAAUGCCGCGUGAACGAGGGAGGUCUUCGGAUCGUAAAGUUCUGUUGAAGGGGAAAAAGAGCGGAGAGAGGAAAUGGUCUCCGAUUGAUAUUACCCUUCGAGGAAGUCACGGCUAACUCUGUGCCAGCAGCCGCGGUAAUACAGAGGUCUCAAGCGUUGUUCGGAAUCACUGGGCGUAAAGCGUGCGUAGGCUGUUUCGUAAGUCGUGUGUGAAAGUUUGCGGCUCAACCGUAAAAUUGCAGUUGAAACUGGCAGUCUUGAGUAAAGUAGAGGUGGGCGGAAUUCGUGGUGUAGCGGUGAAAUGCGUAGAUAUCGAGAGGAACACUCGUGGCGAAGGCGGGUUCCUGGACAUUAACUGACGCUGAGGCACGAAGGCCAGGGGAGCGAAAGGGAUUAGAUACCCCUGUAGUC